AUGCUUUCAUGGCAUUUAGAUUUUAGAGGAGAGACUCUACAAGAGGGUGAGGCUCAUCCAUUGCCUUCCAGGUGUUCUGACCCCUGGGAGUUCCCCAACUGUGGGAAACUCAGCUGUAUAAUUUAUGGUUAUAGGGGACUGCUUCCCAC
ensembl:snRNA U1 U1 spliceosomal RNA